rfam:Leersia perrieri chromosome 6, whole genome shotgun sequence.
CCACUUGACGAGGAGGACCUCAUCGCCUACAUCAUCGACGGUUUGGAUGAAGAAUUUAAUCCUGUUGUUUCAGCUAUUGUUGCUAGGGUAGAACCCAUCUCUGUUUUAGAACUCUAUUCGCAGCUCUUAAACUUUAAGA